rnacentral:tRNA from 1 species
GAGGGUAUAGCUCAGUGGUAGAGGGCAUGCUUAGCAUGUGUGAGGUCCUGGGUUCAAUCCCCAGUACCUCCA